rnacentral:rRNA from 1 species
AUUGAACGCUGGCGGCAGGCCUAACACAUGCAAGUCGAACGGUAACAGGAAGAAGCUUGCUUCUUUGCUGACGAGUGGCGGACGGGUGAGUAAUGUCUGGGAAACUGCCUAAUGGAGGGGGAUAACUACUGGAAACGGUAGCUAAUACCGCAUAACGUCGCAAGACCAAAGAGGGGGACCUUCGGGCCUCUUGCCAUCGGAUGUGCCCAGAUGGGAUUAGCUAGUAGGUGGGGUAACGGCUCACCUAGGCGACGAUCCCUAGCUGGUCUGAGAGGAUGACCAGCCACACUGGAACUGAGACACGGUCCAGACUCCUACGGGAGGCAGCAGUGGGGAAUAUUGCACAAUGGGCGCAAGCCUGAUGCAGCCAUGCCGCGUGUAUGAAGAAGGCCUUCGGGUUGUAAAGUACUUUCAGCGGGGAGGAAGGGAGUAAAGUUAAUACCUUUGCUCAUUGACGUUACCCGCAGAAGAAGCACCGGCUAACUCCGUG